UAGAGCAACAGCAAUGAGAAAACAGUCGGUGGUUGUAUGAGAAACGUUUAAUUAAAAAGCAUGGAUUUCAGAAAACACAGAAAGGCAUGCAACAACAGAAGACAAACAUAGGUGAUGGAGAUACCAAUGACGGAUCUACAGAGAGGGAGGGAAGUUGAGUCUAGAGAGGACUUGCACUCUGAAGAGGAGCAUAUGUAGGAGGCACAUUCUGUGGAGAGCAGCCUAACGGCAGCACUAACCCACUCUGAGAGAAGCAUGCACAGUGCCGGAUAUAUGGUUCAAGCGCGCAUCAUUGAGGUGGAACAUACCUUUGUCCAGCUGGAGGGUAGCAUGGACAGUAUGAGGCUGCUCUUUGAGGAGUGCAUAGAGGUGGGCCGUCUGGAAAGUCGGGGGGAUGAAUUGGUAUGGGAGCUAUUGCACCUGGAGCAACCUAUGCUGCAGGCUACGGAGGCUCUGAGGGGACAGUUGUUAGAGGCACAUAGAGUAGAGUCCUUACCAGCAUCCAGUUGGAGUAUAUUCAUCUGCAGAUAGAGGUGGGACAGGUGAAGAGUAAGCUAUUUGUCACAGCCAGACUGUAUUCAGAGCCAGCUAACACUGACUGCACAACAGUAUGAUGGCCCAGUACAGUCACACAGGAGGAGCUCCAGGCCCAUGUCCAGUCUCACAGAGGUAGCCCAGCUUAUGGAGACCCGGCACAACCAGCUGAACACCCUGAAGGAUUGGGCGACGCCAUCCCAUCACUGGGCCGUGAACGACUUCACUCACUGCCAACAAGCCUCACUGUGCCUGCAGCGGCAGCAUGAGGAAUCUAGAAGGCUGGUAUGAGCCGUGCCCGCUAGCCCUGCUCCGGAGGAGGCAGGGAAGGAUACCCUGAGCCAGUAAAGGGGAGUUAACUCAUGGAGCCUUACAUCAUGAGUUUCUGGUCGUCAGCUACAGAUCCAAAGAGGGACUCGUGCAGUAGAUGCCAAGAAACGUCCUCCACAACAGCUGUGUGUCCAGUGAAGAUGGUCUUAGCGUCCACAACCUUCCCCUCCUUAGGAACUGCACUGAUGUCCCACAUACAGAUCGUCUGCAGACAGAUGGGAAACAAGGUGAGAAAAGAAAAGACAUGGAGGGAGGAAGGAAGAGUGUUCAAGCACUUGCUCUGGGUCAAGUGACAAGUCACUCACAUGGUCAUCAGAAGCGCUGAGAAGACAGCCACUCAGGUUGGGGUUCCAGGAGAGACCGUAACCCUCCUUCUGGUGUCCCCUCAAACGCAGAUCUGGGGUGCACUCUCCAGAUGGAUCUGUAGUACACAGGUAAACACGUUAUUACCAAACAUUUUUAAAACAGGACUUGGACUUCCUGGCCAUACACUUUAAAUGUGCAGUAAGCAGACCCACCUGGUUUGGAGGGAUGUUUGGUGUAGUCAAAGACAAGCACAUCACUGGUUGGGGUUUUGGUGGCGAUGAUGCAGGGGUUCUGGGGCAUGUGGCGGGCUCUGUUCACCUCUCCCUCAUGGUUUAUCUUGAUUUCAAUCUCUAUCUUACCACUGACUGAGCCAAAGCCUCCAAACUCUGAAGGGAGCGAGAGAGUCAGAUCAGUGAGCUACAGCAAAAAGGACUAAUGUAUAUUACCAACAGUAAAAUAUUUUGAAUGAACCAAAGCCUUAAAACAUUUACACAGAAAGGUUGUAAUUGUAUCAAAAACAUUCUCUCACCGCCUUUCUCACUAUCAUAGUGAGAAGCAUCAAACUGCGCGUCGUCAUUGGGCAGUUGCACGCUGGCAAUGACCAGGUGAUUCUGUUCAUCUGAUGUGUGUGUGCCAAGAACCAGCCUGUGUACACUGAAAUCCUUCCCCUCAGGUCUAAAAAUAUAGAAAAAAGGUGUUCCAAAACAGAUACAUGUAAACAGUUUCCUUUUUUUAUGUAAUAGGGGGCAUUAGAAACUUAACAUGGUCUACACAAGGAUAUCUUCGCAACACAUAUGGAGGCCAAAAACAAUCCUCCUAAAGACACCUUAGCACUCUCAGUAAUCUAGCAAAGGCAGUUUUGUGAUCAGCACCAGUAUCUGGUAUUCAUGGGAACUAUAGCUAGUUAUGUAUUCCUAUAUUGAGAUGCACAGAUAGUUGCAGCAUUCAAGACACCUGGGAAAAAUAGUUUUGAAUGGUCAUCCAACUCAGGAAUUCUGGCAUAUUCCUAGAGCUCUGACUUUCCUCCCUGAAGAUCACUCAUAUGUUCACCUCGUUUUUUCAAGUUCCCAGUUGUCUUGAAAGUACCAAAUGAACCUUACCUGGUGACAUCAGGCAGCCACUGUGCUGUGAGGCUGGGCCACUCCAGGGCGUGGGUCAUCACCAGGUCAUAGAGGAAGGGCGUGUUCUUCUUCCAUAUCUUGUACUCCUCAUUUAUCACCCUCUCCUCCACAGCAUCAUCAAACGCUGCUGUAAAACAGAAUGAAAGUCAAUCGAGACAGAUUUAAAUGUAACUCAAACUAGCAGCAACCCAUUCAAAGGAAAUAUAGUUGUGAUUGAGGGCACCCUAUUAACAUUGAGAAAGUGUUAGCUAGCUAGUUAAUAGUUACGCCCAUUGAGUAGGGUUUUCCCGAUGUUAGCAAACGUACUGACAAAUUGAGCGAAAGUUAGCUAACUCAUUACACUCCCCCAAACAGGUUGUGUCUCUGACAUUAAACGCUUUGCUUUUGAA